UUUGUUCAAUUUGGUCCUCAUUUUUUUUUGUGUUCAAUAUUAUCCUAAAGAUUAUAAAUUUUGUUCAAUUUAGUCCUUUUUGGAGACACCGUCUAAAUAGUUAACGGCAAACAGUCCAAGUGUUCAAUACAGUAACAUGUUGGCAUAUAACUGACAACGUGGAUCCCCUUGAGGCACAAUUACGUGGAUUGUGAAAGAAAUGUUAUUUAUUUAAUGAAACCCAAUCUUUGACAAG
rnacentral:lncRNA from 1 species